AUGGCCGCGGGCUCCUUGUCCGUGGCGGCUGGAUCUGGGGCCUUGGGGUGGCAGGGAGCUCCUCCUCCUGCAGCUCGGCGGCCUCCACACCCCGGAGCAACGCCGUCGCCAGAGGACGUGGUCACCUGCUCUCCUCUGGAUCCGGUGAGGAGGGUUGGGGAAGGAGCUCACCACGGCUCCAUGCCCUGGAUCUGGUGUGAGGGAGGGGGAAGGGAGCUCACCGUGGUCAGGAGGGAGAGGAAGAGGCGGGCGGCCGAGGCUUCCCGAUCUAAAUCAAAGUCGAGGAGGUGGGUGGGUGUGUCAGGAGGAAGGUGA
rnacentral:rRNA from 1 species